GUGCAACAGUCGCGAAAACUUCACAAUGGGAGCAAUCCCGAUGAGGGAAUUCCAAGUGCCAACACACUGUGUUGGCUGUUCUCCUGUCUAAAAAGCAGGAGAAGUAAGGGCCGGGUAAGACGGGUGCCAGCCGCCGCGGUAAUACCCGCGGCCCGAGUGGUGGUCGAUAUUAUUGAGCCUAAAACGUCCGUAGCCGGUCUCGUAAAUCCCUGGGUAAAUCGGCCAGCUUAACUGUCCGAAUUCCGGGGAGACUGCGGGACUUGUGACUAGGAGAGGUCAGAGGUACUUCCGGGGUAUGGGUAAAAUCCUGUAAUCCUGGAAGGACCACCGGUGUCGAAGGCGUCUGACUAGAACGGAUCCGACGGUGAGGGACGAAGCCCUGGGGCGCAAACGGGAUUAGAUACCCGCGUAGUCC
rnacentral:rRNA from 1 species